UGUGAUUCAUGACUGGGGUGAAGUCGUAACAAGGUAACCGUAGGGGAACCUGCGGUUGGAUCACCUCCUUACCUU
rnacentral:tRNA from 1 species